rnacentral:rRNA from 1 species
AGUCGAGUUGUUUGGGAAUGCAGCUCCAAGCGGGUGGUAAAUUCCAUCUAAGGCUAAAUACUGGCGAGAGACCGAUAGCGAACAAGUACUGUGAAGGAAAGAUGAAAAGCACUUUGAAAAGAGAGUGAAACAGCACGUGAAAUUGUUGAAAGGGAAGGGUAUUGCGCCCGACAUGGGGAUUGCGCACCGCUGCCUCUCGUGGGCGGCGCUCUGGGCUUUCCCUGGGCCAGCAUCGGUUCUUGCUGCAGGAGAAGGGGUUCUGGAACGUGGCUCUUCGGAGUGUUAUAGCCAGGGCCAGAUGCUGCGUGCGGGGACCGAGGACUGCGGCCGUGUAGGUCACGGAUGCUGGCAGAACGGCGCAACACCGCCCGUC